AUGGUGGCGCAUGCAUUCAAAACAACAACGUGUCUAAACAUGGUUUUUGUCUUUUUUUUUCUUCUUUUUUGCGAAUUAAACAUGGUUUUUGUCAGCACGCAAGCUACAGCCGAUCGCGUCACCGCAUCACCAUCACCUUCCCAUUUUUGUGUGCAACGGCGUGAACCGCCCAUCCUAUCUUUCCACUUGUGCGCAACGCCGCGAACCGCCCGUCCCAAAAUAUCGGUGAGGGUGAAGGUUCUCUCGCACUCUCGUUCAUGGUGGAUUUCCCAUUCGCAGUGGAUUUUCUCGUUUUCACGGGCAGUGCAUUUUUGUAGCACUCCAUCUCGCUCUGUACCACCUCACAUGGCAAAAGUGCCGCUGAUGAUGGUUGGUUGA
rnacentral:rRNA from 1 species